GACGAACGCUGGCGGCGUGCUUAACACAUGCAAGUCGAGCGGUAAGGCCCUUUCGGGGGUACGACGAGCGGCGAACGGGUGAGUAACACGUGGGUGACCUGCCCUCAGCUCUGGGAUAAGCCUGGGAAACUGGGUCUAAUACUGGAUAUGACUCCACGGUGCAUGUCGUGGGGUGGAAAGCCUUGUGCGGCUGAGGAUGGGCCCGCGGCCUAUCAGCUUGUUGGUGGGGUGAGGCCUACCAAGGCGACGACGGGUAGCCGGCCUGAGAGGGCGACCGGCCACACUGGGACUGAGACACGGCCCAGACUCCUACGGGAGGCAGCAGUGGGGAAUCUUGCGCAAUGGGCGAAAGCCUGACGCAGCGACGCCGCGUGAGGGAUGACGGCCUGG
rnacentral:rRNA from 1 species